rnacentral:misc_RNA from 1 species
AAGUCGUAACAAGGUUUCCGUAGGUGAACCUGCGGAAGGAUCAUUUCUGUUCCAACCUUUUUCUUCCCUUUCUGGCUUCAUUCUCCCUUGUAAUAGAGGGGGUUUAGAGUUGGAGAAGGAGAAAAAUAGAGAUUGUGUGGUUUAAAUGCUUUCUACGUGGGAUUCUGCCUUUCUAUUCUUCUGCUUUGAACCUCCUAAUCCUUCUGAUUCGUCGGAAAGAAAAAGGUGGGGAAUAAGUAUGGGAAAUAAAGGGGUAGGUUCCAUAUAGAAACCCCAUUUUUCAUAUAUAAAAAAUCACGAUGAUUACUAUUGUAACCAACCGAGAGCAAGGUGUUUUUUUUCUGAUCUCUUGAAAAAGGGAAUAGGGGAAAAUGCUUUGAAUUUCACAAAUAUAAACGACAUACAACUGUCAACGGUGGAUCUCUUGGCUCGU